UAACCCCGGGAAACUGGGAUUAAUCCUUGAUAGGUCAUCUCAUCUGGAAGGAGAGAUGGCUUAAAGGGAUGCGAGAGCUUCUUUCUUGUAUCCGCUCCAGGAUGGGACUGCGGCCGAUCAGGCUGUUGGUGGGGCAAUGGCCCACCAAACCUGUAACCGGUACGGGCCUUGAGAGAGGGGGCCCGGAGAUGGACACUGAGAGAAGGGUCCAGGUCCUACGGGGCGCAGCAGGCGCGAAACCUUCACAAUGCGCGAAAGCGUGAUGAGGUUAAUCCGAGUGGUCCCCGCUGAGGGGAUCUUUUGUCGGCUGUAAAAAGGCCGGUGAAUAAGGGGAGGGCAAGUCUGGUGUCAGCCGCCGCGGUAAUACCAGCUCCUCGAGUGGUCGGGGCGAUUAUUGGGCCUAAAGCAUCCGUAGCCUGUUCUGCAGGUCCGCUGUUAAAUCCAACGGCUUAACCGUUGGCCCGCAGCGGAUACCACAGGACUAGGAGGCGGGAGAGGUGGACGGUACUCCACGUGUAGGGGUAAAAUCCUUUGAUCCGUGGAAAGACCACCAGUGGCGAAGGCGGUCCACCAGAACGCGCUCGACGGUGAGGGAUGAAAGCUGGGGGAGCGAACCGGAUUAGAUACCCGGGUAGUCCCAGCCGUAAACGAUGCAAGCUAGAUGAUCCGGUCGCAAAUCGCGA
rnacentral:rRNA from 1 species